rnacentral:rRNA from 1 species
UAGGGAAUCUUCGGCAAUGGGGGCAACCCGGACCGAGCAACGCCGCGUGAGUGAAGAAGGUUUUCGGAUCGUAAAGCUCUGUUGUAAGAGAAGAACGUGUGUGAGAGUGGAAAGUUCACACAGUGACGGUAACUUACCAGAAAGGGACGGCUAACUACGUGCCAGCAGCCGCGGUAAUACGUAGGUCCCGAGCGUUGUCCGGAUUUAUUGGGCGUAAAGCGAGCGCAGGCGGUUUAAUAAGUCUGAAGUUAAAGGCAGUGGCUUAACCAUUGUUCGCUUUGGAAACUGUUAAACUUGAGUGCAGAAGGGGAGAGUGGAAUUCCAUGUGUAGCGGUGAAAUGCGUAGAUAUAUGGAGGAACACCGGUGGCGAAAGCGGCUCUCUGGUCUGUAACUGACGCUGAGGCUCGAAAGCGUGGGGAGCAAACAGG